GAUGAAGAACGCAGCGAAAUGCGAUACGUAAUGUGAAUUGCAAAUUCAGUGAAUCAUCGAGUCUUUGAACGCACAUUGCGCCCCCUGGUAUUCCGGGGGGCAUGCCUGUCCGAGCGUCAUUGCUGCCCUCAAGCACGGCUUGUGUGUUGGGCCCCGUCCUCCGAUCCCGGGGGACGGGCCCGAAAGGCAGCGGCGGCACCGCGUCCGGUCCUCGAGCGUAUGGGGCUUUGUCACCCGCUCUGUAGGCCCGGCCGGCGCUUGCCGAUCAACCCAAAUUUUUAUCCAGGUUGACCUCGGAUCAGGUAGGGAUACCCGCUGAACUUAAGCAUUUCAAUAAGCGGAGGA
rnacentral:misc_RNA from 1 species